rnacentral:ncRNA from 1 species
UAAAAGGUAUUGAAAAGGAGAGUAAGCUCAACAUGCUCUUAGAGAGGGAUUUUUGAUUUGGCUGAAAAAAAUUCCGGGCCAAUGUUUAGCUGAAGUGCACCUUUAAACUGUUGUUCCGAAAUUAAUUAGGAAUUUCCGGUGUUAACCGUUAUCAAUUUUUGAGUUGGGUUUUUUAAUGAAACCAAAUCAGAGUGGAACCGCGAUAACACCGUCUCUGUA